rnacentral:sRNA from 1 species
UAUGUUCCAAGUUUAGUU